AGGUGGUGCAUGGUUGUCGUCAGCUCGUGUCGUGAGAUGUUGGGUUAAGUCCCGCAACGAGCGCGAACCCCUCGUGGUUAGUUGCCAUCAUUCAGUUGGGCACUCUAAGCAGACGUGCCGUGGGAUAACACGGAGGAAGGUGGGGAUGACGUCAAAUCAUCAUGCCCCUUAUGACCUGGGCUACGACACGUGCUACAAUGGUCUGAACAGAGGGCUGCGAAACCGCAAGGUGAAGCCAAUCCCUUAAAACAGAUCUCAGUUCGGAUUGCAGGCUGAAACUCGCCUGCAUGAAGUUGGAGUUGCUAGUAAUCGCGGAUCAGAAUGCCGCGGUGAAUGCGUUCCCGGGUCUU
rnacentral:rRNA from 1 species